rnacentral:rRNA from 1 species
UGGGGAAUAUUGGUCAAUGGGCGCAAGCCUGAACCAGCAAUGCCGCGUGAGUGAUGAAGGCCUUCGGGUUGUAAAGCUCUGUCGGGAGGGACGAAAAAGCCCGGGUAACUCUGGGACUUGACGGUACCUCCAAAGGAAGCACCGGCUAACUCUGUGCCAGCAGCCGCGGUAAUACAGAGGGUGCAAGCGUUGUUCGGAAUUACUGGGCGUAAAGCGCGUGUAGGCUGCAAGGUUAGUCAGAUGUGAAAGCCCUUGGCUCAACCAAGGAAGUGCAUCUGAUACUGCCUCGCUCGAGUGUCGGAGGGGGUGGCGGAAUUCCCGGUGUAGAGGUGAAAUUCGUAGAUAUCGGGAGGAACACCUGUGGCGAAGGCGGCCACCUGGACGACAACUGACGCUGAGACGCGAAAGCGUGGGUAGCAAACAG